UAGGACAAUAGCUGUGACACUCAGAACC
rnacentral:piRNA from 1 species